GACGAACGCUGGCGGCGUGCCUAAUACAUGCAAGUCGAGCGAACAGACGAGGAGCUUGCUCCACUUACGUUAGCGGCGGACGGGUGAGUAACACGUGGAUAACCUACCUUUAAGACUGGGAUAACUUCGGGAAACCGGAGCUAAUACCGGAUAAAAUAUUGAAACACAUGGUUUAAUAGUGAAAGACGGUUUUGCUGUCCCCUAUAGAUAUAUCCGCGCCGCUUUGGCUAGUUGGUAAGGUAACGCCUUACCAAGGCGACGUUGCGUAGCCGACCUGGGAGGUGGAUCGGCCAAACUGGAACUGAGACACGGUCAAGACUCCUACGGGAGGCAGCAGUAGGGAAUCUUCCGCAAAGGGCGAAGUCUGGACGGGGCAACGCCGCGUGGGUGAUGAAGGUCUUCGGAUCGUAAAACUCUGUUAUUAGGGAAGAACAAAUGUGGAAGUAACUAUGCACGUCGUGACGGUACCUAAUCAGAAAGCCACGGCUAACUACGUG
rnacentral:rRNA from 1 species